rnacentral:rRNA from 1 species
UGGGGAAUAUUGCACAAUGGGCGCAAGCCUGAUGCAGCCAUGCCGCGUGUAUGAAGAAGGCCUUCGGGUUGUAAAGUACUUUCAGCGGGGGGGAAGGCGAUAAGGGUAAUAACCUUGUCGAUUGACGUUACCCGCAGAAGAAGCACCGGCUAACUCCGUGCCAGCAGCCGCGGUAAUACGGAGGGUGCAAGCGUUAAUCGGAAUUACUGGGCGUAAAGCGCACGCAGGCGGUCUGUCAAGUCGGAUGUGAAAUCCCCGGGCUCAACCUGGGAACUGCAUUCGAAACUGGCAGGCUAGAGUCUUGUAGAGGGGGGUAGAAUUCCAGGUGUAGCGGUGAAAUGCGUAGAGAUCUGGAGGAAUACCGGUGGCGAAGGCGGCCCCCUGGACAAAGACUGACGCUCAGGUGCGAAAGCGUGGGGAGCAAACA